rnacentral:tRNA from 3 species
CGGGAUAGCUCAGCUGGU